GCUUGGAUAGCUCAGUUAGUAGAACAUGAGACUCCUAAUCUCAGGGUUGUGGGUUUGAGCCCCACACAGAGCA
rnacentral:tRNA from 1 species